rnacentral:rRNA from 3 species
UAAGAGUUUGAUUAUGGCUCAGGACGAACGCUGGCGGCGUGCCUAAUACAUGCAAGUCGAACGCACUGACGUCGACCGAAGCUGCUUGCAGUGGACGUUGAUUGACGUGAGUGGCGGACGGGUGAGUAACACGUGGGUAACCUACCCUUAAGUGGGGGAUAACAUUUGGAAACAGAUGCUAAUACCGCAUAACCAUUCAGACCACAUGGUCUGAAUGUAAAAGACGGCCUUUGGCUGUCACUUUUGGACGGACCCGCGGCGUAUUAGUUAGUUGGUAAGGUAACGGCUUACCAAGACAAUGAUACGUAGCCGACCUGAGAGGGUAAUCGGCCACAUUGGGACUGAGACACGGCCCAAACUCCUACGGGAGGCAGCAGUAGGGAAUCUUCCACAAUGGACGAAAGUCUGAUGGAGCAACGCCGCGUGAGUGAAGAAGGUUUUAGGAUCGUAAAACUCUGUUGUUGGAGAAGAACAGGGACUAGAGUAACUGUUAGUCCUUUGACGGUAUCCAACCAGAAAGCCACGGCUAACUACGUGCCAGCAGCCGCGGUAAUACGUAGGUGGCAAAGCGUUGUCCGGAUUUAUUGGGCGUAAAGCGAGCGCAGGCGGUUUUUUAAGUCUGAUGUGAAAGCCUUCGGCUUAACCGAAGAAGUGCAUUAGAAACUGGGAAACUUGAGUGCAGAAGAGGACAGUGGAACUCCAUGUGUAGCGGUGAAAUGCGUAGAUAUAUGGAAGAACACCAGUGGCGAAGGCGGCUGUCUGGUCUGUAACUGACGCUGAGGCUCGAAAGUAUGGGGAGCGAACAGGAUUAGAUACCCUGGUAGUCCAUACCGUAAACGAUGAAUGCUAAGUGUUGGAGGGUUUCCGCCCUUCAGUGCUGCAGCUAACGCAUUAAGCAUUCCGCCUGGGGAGUACGACCGCAAGGUUGAAACUCAAAGGAAUUGACGGGGGCCCGCACAAGCGGUGGAGCAUGUGGUUUAAUUCGAAGCAACGCGAAGAACCUUACCAGGUCUUGACAUCCUUUGACCACUGUAGAGAUACAGCUUUCCCUUCGGGGACAAAGUGACAGGUGGUGCAUGGUUGUCGUCAGCUCGUGUCGUGAGAUGUUGGGUUAAGUCCCGCAACGAGCGCAACCCUUAUGACUAGUUGCCAGCAUUUAGUUGGGCACUCUAGUAAGACUGCCGGUGACAAACCGGAGGAAGGUGGGGAUGACGUCAAAUCAGCAUGCCCCUUAUGACCUGGGCUACACACGUGCUACAAUGGUCGGUACAACGAGUUGCGAACCCGCGAGGGUAAGCUAAUCUCUUAAAGCCGAUCUCAGUUCGGAUUGUAGGCUGCAACUCGCCUACAUGAAGCCGGAAUCGCUAGUAAUCGCGGAUCAGCACGCCGCGGUGAAUACGUUCCCGGGCCUUGUACACACCGCCCGUCACACCAUGAGAGUUUGUAACACCCGAAGUCGGUGGGGUAACCCUUUUAGGGAACUAGCCGCCUAAGGUGGGACAGAUGAGUGGGGUGAAGUCG